UACUGUGGGCGAGUCGAGACUCUAGAGUGUUCAUUAUUGGAAAAAGAAUGAGCUAUUGUGGGCGAGAAGUUCGCACCUCCUGUGUAGCGCAGAAAUAAAUCCACUGAUGAAUCAAGAAAUCUCCGGAGCAAGGAGUGUCCUCCAUCCAAACCGGAUGUAUUCCAGUGAUGGUCUUCUGUUGUCGAUGACAUGGAAGGCAGUCCGACAUCAUGAAGCAACAUUCAAAGCUUUUCGCCUGUCUCGAUAUCUGCCCCUGAGGUUUUUGACAAUAGACAGGCCUAGUCAUGGAUGUCCUGAUGCAUUCUACAUCUAUCUUCAAUAUUGGCUCGCCAAUAGUCAUAGAGGGAAUGU